UACGGGGGGGGCAAGCGUUGUUCGGAAUUAUUGGGCGUAAAGAGCUCGUAGGCGGUCUGUCGCGUCUGCUGUGAAAACUCGGGGCUUAACCCCGGGCCUGCAGUGGGUACGGGCAGACUAGAGUGCGGUAGGGGAGACUGGAAUUCCGGGUGUAGCGGUGGAAUGCGUAAAGAUCCGGAAGAACACCGGUGGCGAAGGCGGCCUGCUGGGCAGUUUGGCUGACACUGAGGCGCGACAGCGUGGGGAGCAAACAGG
rnacentral:rRNA from 1 species